UGGGGAAUAUUGCACAAUGGGCGAAAGCCUGAUGCAGCGACGCCGCGUGAGGGAUGACGGCCUUCGGGUUGUAAACCUCUUUCAGCAGGGAAGAAGCGAAAGUGACGGUACCUGCAGAAGAAGCGCCGGCUAACUACGUGCCAGCAGCCGCGGUAAUACGUAGGGCGCAAGCGUUGUCCGGAAUUAUUGGGCGUAAAGAGCUCGUAGGCGGUUAGUCGCGUCUGCUGUGAAAACUCGAGGCUCAACCUCGGGCUUGCAGUGGGUACGGGCUGACUAGAGUGCGGUAGGGGUGACUGGAAUUCCUGGUGUAGCGGUGGAAUGCGCAGAUAUCAGGAGGAACACCGAUGGCGAAGGCAGGUCACUGGGCCGCAACUGACGCUGAGGAGCGAAAAGCAUGGGGGAGCGAAACAGGAUUAGAUACCCUGGUAGUCCAUGCCGUAAACGUUGGGCACUAGGUGUGGGGUCCAUUCCACGGAUUCCGUGCCGCAGCAAACGCAUUAAGUGCCCCCGCCUGGGGAGUACGGCCGCAAGGCUAAAACUCAAAUGAAUUGACGGGGUCAUAGCUGUUU
rnacentral:rRNA from 1 species